rnacentral:lncRNA from 1 species
GUUUGAACUGCAAUUCACAAACUCUCCAUGACUAAUUCAUAAAUAACAGAAAUUUAUUUUCUCAGUAUCUCAGAGGGGAGGAGGUCCACUUAAGGCUCACUUGUCUGAUGAGUGCUGCGUCCUCUGGAGAGCAGGAAGGCUGUGCCUUCAAACUGUGGCAAAGUAGAGUGGGAAGAGAGCCAAAAGCUACAUGAAGCUUUCUUUAUUAGGAGCCUUAAUCCUAGACAUGAAGGAGGAGACUUCAUGACUUAAUUACCUCUUAAAGACCCCUCUUCCCAAUACCAUCACAUUACACAAUUGAAUUUGGAAGGGGCACAUUUAAAUCAGUGUUUCUCAUCCAUGCCUGUUGGCCUGACCUGUUGAUCUCUAUCCUGCAGCUCCUUAUUAGGUUUGGACUAUGGAUGGCAGAGCCAAGAGUACUGGAGGAGAAAUCAUUCAAGCAACUGUCCCCUCCCCGUGCUGUUGUCCCAAUCAUUCUGAUAGUGACUACAGUCUACAGGACAAAUCCUCUCAAAAAGCCAUCCCCCUUAAGGCAAUGAGCUCUUUUCAGGUUCCACUGACCCAGUUUCCUCUCCUCUCCUUUCAAGCCUAUCCAAGUGAUUUUCAAUUACUGGCAGUCUCUGGAGGGUCUGCUACCCUGUGAUGAUACUCCUAACUGGGCCCAUACCUCAUAGCCAUCCCCUUCAUUAGUCUACUCACUUUGACCUUUGAGCUUGGCAUCUGUGGCCCAUGAUGCACUCAGUGCUAUAACAUCAAGUAUACUGUCUUUCAUCUUUCUUCUGGAUGACCCACAUAUUAUCAUUUUUGUCUUUUU